AUUGGUGGCGGCACAUCGAGAGGCCGGGCCCCCGCGAAAGCUGCGGACUCUCAUUGGGCCGCGCGGCACGUCGGAUCGCCUGACUGGCAGGAGGCAGCUGCAGAGGGGAGGGGAGCGCAGAAGGUGCAAAAGCUUUCUUCUUGCAGCCCAAGCUUUCCCUGGUUAUUAGGCAUGCCCAGUUGUGUGGAGCACUCCGUCUUCGGCUGAGGUGCGGUGAAAGGAGAGAGCGGGAAAAACACCCGUUUAGCAGAGAAGCUCGGGUCCAAGACAGCAAGGAAGAUGAAGAUGAAGACUGAGCGGCUGAGGGAAUGAGAAAGCACCAGGGAAAGUAUCAGAUGUGACAGUGCGUUUCACCAGGUGCUGUGGCUGAGCUACUUUGUAUCUAUCCCACCUCUAUUUAAAGGCGAGUUAAACCCUGCAGGUAUGGAAAUGAAGGCGGAGACGGAGAAGUUCAGUGACCCAGAAGUAACAAAUACAAUCUCCUUGGCGCCAUCCAUGUUCAUCCCACCCAGAAGCUGAGUGUAUGUUACCAUGGGGCCAUGGUGCACUAAGAAGAUAGUAUGGAGAUCUGUCGGAGGGCUGAUUUUAUUAUACAAUGUCUCUGGAUAUCCAGGUCAUUAUAAAUAUGAAGGAACAUCCUUCUCCCUUCUUUCCUCCAUGUGCUCCUUGUGAUGACUGGAGCUCUAGCAGUCAUCAUGGACCAUGAGCUUGAGAAUCAUACCAAAUGGAAAGGCACACAACAAACUUUUUGAAGCAAUGAUUUUUGGGCGGAUUUCUGUUAUUGCAGCCAAUACCUAAUGCAGGAGACUGAUGUAAUCAAAUAAGAGAUAGCAAUAGCCUGUACUAUCACGAUAGUGGAUAUGGAGAGAAAAGGACAUGUUCAAGAUGUAUUUUGAAGGUCGAGAACAAAGGAGUUAACAAUAGACUGGAUAUGGCAGGGUGAGGGAAAUAGAAAUGUCAAAAAUUAAUCCAAGAUAAGUGACCUGAACCACCACGAACAACCAUUUGAUAGAUGGUGUCAUCAUUACUGAAUGGGGACAAACUGAAGAGGCAAGACUUGAGAAGAAAUAAAGACUUCACUUUGGACAUAUUUCAGAAAUAUGAAGUCCUUCCAUCAUAUUUGUUUUAAGUCUGUGCUAAAUCUAUGAAGCAAUGUAUAUAUACCUUCAGAAAUGAAGGUAUUCACUAAAUUCAUCAUAACAUUCAUAAUUAAUCAUAAUUUCACCAGAAGAUCUAUAACCUAUGAGUUUAGGGAUUCUCACUGAACCUGAGCUGUUUCUUUUUUUAUUUUUUUUCCUUUAUCUUACUCAUAAGUAGAUUAAGUUGCAGUGCAAACAUGCCAUUUCCUUUUGGUUGUUAUGUAUUCUAGAGGAAAAAAGAGAACACCCAAACAGGACCUAUAUUUAAACCAGAAGCUUCUCUCAUUUUUCUCUAAAGGGAAUACUAAUGUUUUUGAAAGCUAGUGAUUUACAAUGUUAUCUAAUUCAAACCUUAGUCAUAGGGCUUGUCAUCAUCAUUUUCCAGAUGGGUAACUUAGAGAAGUUAAGAAAUGUCACCAAGGUUACAAAGCUGGAAUAUAGCAGAACAAAAAUUCAAAGCUAAUCGGCCACAUCCCGAGGUCUGUGUUCCUACUGCUAAAAAUUGCUUCUCUCUUGCAUGUUCCUCCUAUAAGUAAAGCCAAACAGAUUCCAAGA